rnacentral:rRNA from 1 species
GAUGAACGCUGGCGGCGUGCUUAACACAUGCAAGUCGAACGGUGAAGGCGGAACUUUCUCUGCUGGAUCAGUGGCGAACGGGUGAGUAACACGUGAGCAAUCUGCCCCUGACUCUGGGAUAAGCGCUGGAAACGGCGUCGAAUACUGGAGACGAGCUUCGAAGGCAUCUUCAGCAGCUGGAAAGAAUUUCGGUCAGGGAUGGGCUCGCGGCCUAUCAGCUUGUUGGUGAGGUAAGGGCUCACCAAGGCGUCGACGGGUAGCCCGCCUGGGAGGGGGGACGGGGACCCGGGUACUGCGGGACGGACCAGACUGCUACGGGAGGCAGAAGUGGGGACCAUUGCACAGUGGGGGCAAGCCUGAUGCAGAAACGCUGCGUUUGGGACGACGGCCUUCGGGUUGUAAACAUCUUUUAGCAGGGAAGGAGCGAAAGUGACGGUACCUGCAGAAAAAGCGCCGGCUAACUACGUG